AACAAGGUCUCCGUUGGUGAACCAGCGGAGGGAUCAUUAUCGAGUUAUUCAACUCCCAAACCCUAUGUGAACUUACCACUUGUUGCUUCGGCGCGCGCUUCGGCGCCGCCGAGGACACUUAAACUCUUUGUUUUUAUAAGCAUUUCUGAGUGGCCGAAAGGCAAAAAUACAAAUGAAUCAAAACUUUCAACAACGGAUCUCUUGGUUCUGGCAUCGAUGAAGAACGCAGCGAAAUGCGAUAAGUAAUGUGAAUUGCAGAAUUCAGUGAAUCAUCGAAUCUUUGAACGCACAUUGCGCCCGCCAGCAUUCUGGCGGGCAUGCCUGUUCGAGCGUCAUUUCAACCCUCGAGCCCGACUCUUUUGAGGACGGCUCGGCGUUGGGGGACGGCAGACUCCCCCCGGCAUCUCGCCGGGGACGCCGCCCCCGAAAUCUAGUGGCGGCCCUCCGAGGCGACCUCUGCGUAGUAACUUGUUCUCGCACCGGAAAGCUCAGAGCGGCCACGCCGUAAAACCCCAACUUUUUUCAGGUUGACCUCGAAUCAGGUAGGACUACCCGCUGAACUUAAGCAUAU
rnacentral:rRNA from 1 species